GAAAAAGAAAUGUAUUUUUUUUAGUUUUCUGAUUUGUAUUAUAUAAAUAUUUUUCCAAUGUUUUGUUAUACUUAUUUUUAGCAAUGUUUUAGCUCAAACAAAUUAUUUCAAAAGAAGCAUAGUAAAGAAACAUCCUGGUGAAAAAAGAUUGAUUGAUUUUUAGUGUUAAACAUCACUUUCAGCAAUAUUGAUUAUAUCUUGGUGGCCAUUUUUUUUUAUUGGUUGAGAAAGUCAGAGUAAUGGGAGAGAACCACCAAAUUGAAAAUUGAUGUACUAAAUAUUUUUUUUAAAUGUUUGAAUAUUUUAUAUCAAAUUAUUUAUUUUUAAUUAUAGCUAUACCAUUUUUUUGUUGUUAGAUAUAGCAAUGAUGUGGAGUCCAAACAGGUGAAAUUUUUGGCAAAGGGAGGUAAUUUAUUAUUCCCCUGUUUAACUCCUUAUUCUUGAAAUUUCCUCAUGGUAGGGAAUAUAUAACUAUUUACUUUAAUUUCACAUUUGUACAAGUUUUGGGUUUAAUAUCAGAUGUAUACUAGCUAAUAAGGACUAUUAUUCAGAGUUCUGUAAAUAAAAAAAUGUAAACAGAGCUCUAGAUAAUAGAUUUGAGGGUGGGAGAAAUCAUGGGUUACUUCUUGUAGAAUUGAUUUGGUGAAAUUUUCAAGAUAGGAGAUUAAUUGAAAGUGCAUCUGAUAUCUUUAUUCAUUUCUAUAAAUAAUGGACCAAAAAAUGACAGAUUGACAAUCAGAUAAUGAUGACAGCCACCCUGGCAGCCAGGAGAGCAGCUCUAAGGAAGAUGGUCAAUAAAAUCUUCAACCAAGUCUGAGGCUUUACCAUGAAAUUGAGAAGGCAAGUUUAUUGAAGUCAAACAAUUUUUAUACAUUUUCUAGAAAUAUUUGAUAAAAAGUGCAUAUUCAUCUUUUUUUUCUGCGUGAAAAACAUCUUUGAAGAAUGUAUUUACCAGUUUAAUAUUUUGAGAUACCAGUUACAUUAACAAGAAUUUCUAUCACAAUUACUGGAGUAAAUCCUGAGAUAGGGAUUAUAUCUCAAGGGGAGACUAGUUUUAUUAACAGCAAGAUUUGUUCAUUCAAUGGGAGACAACUCAUUUUCAUUAUUCAAAUUAGUUGAGUUCAGUUGAAAUUCAAAUCAUAAAACUUUGACAAUUUUUUUUUUUUUUCAAUCUUUAUAAAUUUUACAGAAUAUGUGGAUGUUAUACUAUUGGUACAUGAAGUAAGAAAUCAGAACAAUUUGUAAAGUAAUCUUUAGGUUGACAUAGAAAUUGGUUUGUAAAAUUAAUAAAUGUGUUAAUUUCUUUUUAGGUACUUUCUGUGGCAUGUUUUCAUGGUGUUGGAAUAAGACUUGGUGGUCAAAUACAGCUAAUAUGAAGGUAGGUACCAGUAAUAUUAAUCCUGUUUAAAAAAAAUAAUUCUAUAAAUAAUAUUAUUUGGAAAUAAAUACUGACUAGGGUUAAAGGUUUAUAAAAGUUUGGUCAACAGUAUACUCUUUAUUUUAUCAGUACCAUAUGACAAUGUUCACUUGGCAAAAUAUGGCCUUAUUAUAGAUUUUAAAUUUCAACUUUCAUCAUAGAAUUCCAAAAAGGCCCCAAUCUGGUUCUUAAAUGGAUAUAUCAAGAGACUUAUGGCGACAUAAAAGAAAAAGCUUCUUUAUAAUACACUGUAGACUCCAUAAUUAGCUAAAUUGGGAGAUAUUAUCAAAAUGCGAUGUUCUUACCUAAAAGCUUAAAGAAUACCUUUGAUCCAAAAUGUUAAGUAACCUAUAGGUGCCAAGGGUAAUAUUUAAAUUACAAGACAUACACUAUUACUGGAUCAGGGAAAGUGAAUUAUGCUGAAAACUGUUCUAAAUUGUGAAAAAUUGGACCUUUAUUGGCGCUUUUGCGAAAAACACCAGAAUUGCAUAAUCAAGAGGUCAUAACUUUGUAGUUUAUAUUGUUAAAUGCCAAAAAAAGAAGUGGUUAUUUUGUAUCAAAAAUGAUACCACAACAAUUUAUAUGUAGCAUUUGGACCUGAAUUAAAAAAGAUUAAAAUCUUAUGGCCAACUUUAGCCCUUUUAAACCUACCGCUUUUAAGGAUUGAAUUGGGUUGUUGGAUUGAUGUCUUAUCAAUGUUCUCAAAACCUGUCACAUGUAUAUAACCCAUUUUAUAUAAAGUAGAUACGGUAUUCCAGAAGUGAUCCUUUAAAACAAUUUUGAUUGACUAAGCAUUUUAUAUUUCAGGUUAGCACCACAGCUUGUCUGUAGGGAUUGAAGCUGGGAAAGGGCCAUUGGAGCUGAAUUUUAUGGUAAGAACUAAAAAAAAGAUUGAACUAUUCAUCUAAGAGUAUGUAAAUGCACCAUGGACUUUUUUAUGUACACAUGUAGAUCUAACAUUUAAAAAAAAAAAUCCAAAUUAAAAGUUUAUUUAUACCGGUAAUCUGGAUAGGGUAUAUAAGAAUAAAGAGAUGUUAUAAGAUUGCCAACUACACAACUAUCAAUAAAGGAAGCAAAUUACAGUCACCGUAGGACAUUCAGCAAUGAGCAAAAUCUAUAUGAAUGUAAAUAAUGCAACUGGUUGAAUAUCACAAUAGGAACUCAGUGUAUUCAUAAUUUUAAUCUCUGAUGCAUAACUUUGAAGGCAGAUUUUUCUGAAAUCGGGAUUAUUAAUCUUGCAUAUUUAUCCAUUUAUUAAAAAAUCAAGAAUAGAUGCAUGCAAUAAUUUCUGAAUUUACAGUACCAGUUUUAAAGUAAGCUAUAAGAGGUACUGAAUAUGACAAAAUGUGAAACAAUUUCAAACAAGAAAACCAACGCAAUGAUUCAUGAAAAAGAAUAAUCGAAAAAAAUAAACAUGACACACACCAACCAUUGGUUAGUUUUUCAUCCUUAUUUGCUAAUAAUUGUAUUAGAUAUAGUUUAAAUUUUGAUAUAGGCUUGAUCAUAUGUUUUGACAGAUAUGUUUAAGAAUAUUUAUUUCUUUUUCAGGAAACUUUGACUGUGGCUGCCACAUAAAAUGAUUAUAUGAUAACAGUGAAGAAAGUUAGUCAGAAAACUUUUGUAUAUGUUUCAGAAAAUGUAAUUUUUUACAACAAAAAAAAACAAAAAAAAAGAAUGUGUAAAGAUUCUCCACUUUCAACUAGAUUGGAAGCUUGUAUUUAAAAUUUCAAAAUUACUCUUACUUUUCUUGUCGUGCUUAUAGAAACUGAACUUUAUAUGUUUCAUAAUUUAGAUCUUAUUCGUUAUUCCCCAACCCCCUGUAACUCUGUUUCAUUUUUACUUUGAAAAUGAAAUGAAACAGAAAAAAUUUACUUGUAAACUUAAUAAUGGUCUGUCUAGUCCAAAGGCUUUCAGUCGGUUAAGAAUGGAGAAUCUAAAAAAAAAAAAAUAAAAAAAAUGAAAAAAAAUAUAUUGUGUUUUUGUGUUUCCUGAAUUGUUAUAUAUUUUUCCAACUUUUUGUUAUUUUUUUGCAGUGCUUUUAGCUAAAAAAAUUAAAAUUAUUUCACUAGAAGCAGAGUAGAACAUAUUGGUGAAAAAAGAUUGAUUGAUUGAUUGAAUUUUGGUGUAUAAUGCCACUUUCAGCCCAAUUUGUAAUAUCUUGAUGGCCAUUUUUUAUGGGUUGAAAAAGUUAAAAGUAACAGUAGAUACCCACCAACUUUUCCCCCAGGGAACUGUCAAUUCUAGUCAAUUAAGCUUUGAGUCAAACACACCUACCACAGGUUGGGUUUGAAUUCUCAACCUCAUUUUGACAUGCUAGAGAUACAAUAAUACUUCUUAGACCACUGCCACUAAGGCCCUUAGGUAAAAGGAAGUUAAGACUAAAUUAGUUUUUGAAAUGU
rnacentral:lncRNA from 1 species